AUGAACGCUGGCGGCGUGCCUUAUCCAUGCAAGUCGAGCGAACAGACGAGGAGCUUGCUCCUCUGACGUUAGCGGCGGACGGGUGAGUAACACGUGGAUAACCUACCUAUAAGACUGGGAUAACUUCGGGAAACCGGAUCUCAUACCGGAUAAUAUAUUGAACCGCAUGGUUCAAUAGUGAAAGACGGUUUUGCUGUCACUUAUAGAUGGAUCCGCGCCGCAUUAGAUAGUUGGUAAGGUAACGGCUUACCAAGGCAACGAUGCGUAGCCGACCUGAGAGGGUGAUCGGCCACACUGGAACUGAGACACGGUCCAGACUCCUACGGGAGGCAGCAGUAGGGAAUCUUCCGCAAUGGGCGAAAGCCUGACGGAGCAACGCCGCGUGAGUGAUGAAGGUCUUCGGAUCGUAAAACUCUGUUAUUAGGGAAGAACAAAUGUGUAAGUAACUAUGCACGUCUUGACGGUACCUAAUCAGAAAGCCACGGCUAACUACGUG
rnacentral:rRNA from 1 species